rnacentral:miRNA from 10 species
UAGCCGGGCAUGGUGGUGGGGGCCUGUAGUUCCAGCUACUUGGGAGGCUGAG